AUGGUUGGCGGUAUGCUGCACGUUGUCGGCAACCUGUCGGUGGUUGCCGACAGCAACGAUUGGUAUGACAAGACUGUGCUGGUGGCUGUGGACAUGGAGGGCAAGUUGUGGAAGACCAUCUCCGUGCCACGCGGCCAGUAUUAUGGGACAGUUGGGUGGUCACAGGGGUGCCUGCACUAUGCUGCUAUAUCUCCAGCUCCUCUCGCUGUCGGGGAUGACAACGAUGAGGGUUCACUCAACAUGGCUGAAGAGGUAGCGAUCUGGCGCCUUGAGAAUUAUGACACCCAGCAAUGGGCGCUGAAGCAAAGUUUCAGAGUUGAUAAGGUGCUGGACCUAGCUAAGCUGGGGUACAAGCUGGUUGGGUUCCAUCCCGAUCGUGACACCUUCUUUUUGGUCAGCAGUGGUCUUUAUGGCGGAGUUGCGCCUUCAUUGGUGUCGUGGGACAUGCGCCGCCGCCAAAUUGGUGAUUUCAUUGACCUCGAGGAAGGCAGUGGGGGGCCAUAUCUGCCUUAUGUUCCUCUCUUCUCAUCAGAGCCACUAGCAGAUGCAGAUGGGCACUAG
rnacentral:rRNA from 1 species